GAUAAUAAGGUGAUUGAUGAGUCCCCCCCCCCCCCCCCGCAGAGCCUUAUCUGAAACCAGCACUCUAGAGAAGACUCCAUGGGUAAAAGGUGUCACCUCCUGGGAAUAUGGAGCCAUCUGCAAGUGUUUGUCACUUAAAGUCCAAAUAUAUCAAAGGAAGAAUUUUCCUUUCUCUCUUAUUUUUGCUUGUUUUUCUUGUCUUUUCAACACUUUAGGAAACAAAUUAAAGUAGCAGAUGUACUAUAGAACCCUGAGGACAGGUUAGUAGUUCAGAGAAGAGCUAGGUAUUUGACAGGAUUUAGAUACCAUUUCUGAGUCCACCCACAUCAUUGUGUCAUCUCAGGCAAGAUGCUCAACUUCUCUGAACUGGUCUUUGAAUCUCUAAGAAGGUGUUAAUAAUUCCACACUUUGUGAGCUGCUGUGAGGAUUAACUGAGAUCAAGCACUUAAAUGGUGCUCAUCUCACAGUGCCCUGCAAGGGAUCAUUGAGCAGGUGGGGACUCUUCCGUAAUGUCCCAAUUUCAGUUGUGUUUUACUUUAGAUGACAAAUGAGACCUCUCACACACAUCUACCUUAGACUAUGACUGCUCGAGUCGAAUGAAACAAAAUUUCAGCAGUUUCCCAGGAAGCUAGUCAGGGUGGGCUGAUAUAUAUGAAAUAUGAUAUAUGACUGAUAUGUAUGAAAUAUGAUAUAUGACUGAUAUGUAUGAAAUAUGAUAUAUGACUGAUAUGUAUGAAAUAUGACAUAUGGUAUAUAUUAAAUAUAAGAUAUGAUAAUUCUUGGGCAUUAGUAUGGGCUUUUACAACACUUACCUAAAUCUCUCAUGCAAUUUGAUCUCUAGUCAUGCUGUUUGGAGAAUUAAUUUAAAUAAUUUAAAAGUUCAAAUAUCUUCUAAAAGAUACUGAAAACUGUACAGAAACCCCAAAGUCAAGAUCUACCAAUGUUAAGUUAGAUGCAAAUAGCAUUGUAACAGCAGCUAUUUUAGAAAGGUUUGGUUUCUUGCAGUGAGACAGGAAACCCACAAUGCAGACCUAGAGCAAUAAUUCUAGGCUUGAACCAGCUUGAUCAAAUGGAAAGCAGGUGCUUUGGUUUGUUUGUAGUCCAAUCAUUGAGAAUAACUAUGAUUAGGAUAUGAGUAUAACUUAUUGGACUAAACUAUAUUAAAUCUCUAAUACUCAUUGUUUUAUUUUUUAAUGGUGUUUUAUGUGAUUCUGCUUGUAGUUUUUAAUUUUAUUGUUUUUUCCUCCAAAUGAAACCUCGGCUUUUAAGGCAAAGGAAAGAGCAGCCUGAAAUAAUUGCUCAAGAAACGAUAAGCUUCUGUCCUCUUCCUUACCUGGAAGGUGCCUCCUAUGGGAAAUGAAGAAAAUAAUGUACACUUUACAAAGUUCUUGUGAAGCUUACAGGACAAUAUACAAGGCAGUCUAAUUCCAGGCAAAGCCACUUGUUGGAGUUGAAACAACCAAUGUUUGGAGAAAAGAAAGAAGACUGUAUCAACUCUCAUGUACUUUGCUUUCCUGGGAAGAAAAAUACAGCAACAUCAUUUCUAUAGGAGCUAGAAGUUUCCUAUGUAACCUUCACAUCUUAAAGCAUUGCGAACAUCUCAAAAUAACGUGGAUGCUUCUCUGGGUUCCCAACAGCAAACAGAGUGAUACAUGUACAUUUGAAAAGUAACAUGCUGCACUAAUUCUUGCUCUCAUGUUAUGAAUUUAGUUGAACAAAUAGUUAAUGGAGAAUAAAAAAGAUUGGCUUUUAAAUUGUAAAUGCCAUUUUGCAAGACACACCUAUGUUGACCCCAAAUCUAUAAAGCUGGCCUUCUAGAAGUUUACAAACAGGCUGUUCCAAAGACUUGGCUCUGGAAGGGUUCUUGAGGGGGCAGAAUCUGGGUAAUGAAGGACACAUGGCAAGGGUGAACAGCACACACAGAAUAUUUGUUUGGAUGGGUGCCAGACUCACCACAGACAGUCAUCCUCCAGAGGAUGUCCUAUGAAGCUUGAUCCACUCUCAAGAGGUAGCAUUAGUCCAUACAUAAGCAUAGAGCCCCAGGACGAAAUGAACUUCUCCUACGCCAUACUUCUUAAAAGUUAUAGCACAUAUCACCACUACACUAGGGAUCAAACUGUAACAAAAUAUAGCAGCAUCUUAAAGAUAUGAGAACACUGGAGACUGUAUUUCUUCAACUUCCAUAUAAUAGGGUACAAAAUCAUCAUUAUUGAUCAUUCUAAAAUGCCAUUAUUCAUGGCUUUCUAAAAUUCAAUAACAUGAUUCUUUCAAUUCAGAUAAUGCAUUAUAUCACUAUUUUGUCCUAUUUAUUCCUAAUAAAUAAUUAAAUUUAAAGUCUAUUCUUAAAUGUUUUAAAUGUUGAGUAUCAAUGUGAAAAAAAAUAAUAUUGUAAGAGUAAAAUAGCUUCUAUAGAAAAUGUUAUGCAUAUAUCUCCAUUUCUUCCUUAUUCAUUUUAAUAUAAAGCAUUAUUUUGUGCUCCAAAGAAAAGAAAAUAAUUUCAAAAAACAACAACCCAAUGCUUUAAAAAUACUGUCAAUUAGUUGGACAGCAAUAGUGCACACCUUUAAUCCAACUACUCGGGAAAGCAGAGGUUGGUGGAUAUGUUUCAGGCCAGUCUGGUCUACAAGUUUCAAGACAGCCAGGGUUGUUAAACCCUGGAUUCAAAAACCACUAAAAAAUAAAUAAAUAAUACAAUCAAUCACAAAUUAGUCAUCCCUGUAAGACAGUGCCUGUAAGACAAAGGUAUGAUUAAUGAUAAUCUAUUAACUUAAGAAAAGUUACUUGUACUUUUUAAUUUUUUUCACAUAAAAAUAUAUGUUUUGUUGAAAAAAACAUGCGUUUUUUUCCUCAGAAAUAUCUAUGAUUAUUGUUUUGUUUUCUUCUGCAUAGUUCAUUCCUAGGACCUAUAAUGUUGUGGUAAAUUAAUUGCUAUGAUGCAAUUUAGCAUGGCUAUAAAUUGUAGGCAGUUAAAAUCUUAGUUGUAUAUUAGUAUAUGAUUUGGUAUUUGAUAAUUAAAUAACUAAUAUAAAAUCUCUAAAUUAAUUUCCUCAAGCCAUAGACUUAUUCAUUAAAAACUACAACUGUAAGAAAAAUGCAACUGUGGAGCCUAAUGAGGUUAGGCUAUGUAGUCACCAAGGUAACUAUAGCAUAAACUUAAAUGUACAGGACACAUUACUGGGGCCAAGCAGGUCUACUAUAAGAGUAAACAGCCUCGCUGACCUUUAACUCUUCAGCUUUUCUUAGUUGUCCAGUUCACUAUGUCCCAAUGAUACAGUAUCAUCUUCUUGUGGGUUUUUUUGUUUGUUUUGUGUUUUCAUGUAUCAGAAGUAUCUGGUAAAUUAUGAGGACUUUGAGAAAUUUAAAGUUGACAAUAAUUAAUUUUUAUAUCAAUGUAUUUCAACCUUGAAAUACAAUAUCAGUUGACAAUACAGAAGCUGGUUUUUAUAUUUUUAUAAUGUUAACUUACUGGGACGUUCCACUGAUAAAGGAGCAGAACCGAGUGCGAAGCUCUUUUGUGGCAUGCAAAAGUGAACUUCAGUCCUUGAGAGAGCAGGCCCAGUGAAACGCAGGGAAAAAGAACUCACUAUGUCACAUUCCAUAGAAUAGAGCACCUAAUUACCGUCAUGCAAUAGAUAUAAAUGUCAACAAAUGGGGCAGUGGGACACCAUGUCUGUAGUGCAGAGCUAUGACAGUAUCAAUCAGACAAAUAGAACCUGUGGCAUACAGUGUGUGGAUUCGGGGGGGAGGAUUGUAAAGACUGGAGUGUUCUAUGCUGGCUAGAAGCAGUUCUGCUCUGAUACCUCCCCCACUAAACUCUGAGGACCUGUUGAUAUUAAUCUUUAGGACAGUUCAUCCAGCUCGACUUUAUCAGACCUUCAGUCCUGAAGACUGGUAAUUCUGAUCAAAUCAAAUUUUGUUUAGCCUUAUAUUCAUAAUCAUUUAUUAUUGAUCUUAAAGACAUGAUCUUUUCAGAAAGUGCCAGAUACAAAAAUCAAACAAUUCACAAAGAAAUUUGCAAUGAGACAAGCAAAAUGAACCUGGCUGGCCCUGUGAGCAGAAGUUCAUAUAAGAUUCCUUUCUCACAGCCAAACUGAUGCACAAGUCGCUUCCAAGAUAAACAGGGUUACACUCCGUGUUCGACAGCAUUGUAUUUAGACUCUCAAUCCUUUCCUGGGGUACUCUUUCUUUCAAACAAGGAUGAGACAUGAAGCUGAGAGGUACAGCUGGUCAAAUCUUUCUUCUUUGGCUUAUGUCAAAGUCUUCCCACCUUGAUAUUCGAAGGAGAGAAUGAGUGAUGGUCGUUGUUGAUGAGGCCUCAGGACUCUGCAGCCAAUAGCAUUGCCUCCUCUGCCAGGGUGACGAGAGAAGGAAGUGGCCACUUGGUCACUUCUGCCAGGCACAAAAAAGAAUGGGCAUAAUAUCAGAACAGAUUUUUUAAAACAAAAGCCCAGUAGUUCUGAUUCAAGCGUAAUUCCCAUGGUUUCCCAUUGUUGAAAUGCUGCAUUACUUAAGCCCUUGUGGAUUUUUCAAGGUCUCUUAUCAAAGGAAACAAAAGAAUACUUCUCGCUGGUGGUGAAAAAUUAAGAAAAGAUCUGAAAAUGAAAUCAUGUGAUUGUACUAAAAACACAAAAUGCAAAAACUGUUUUAUAAAUUUAAUGUAUUUUUACUAGAGUAGAUAUCUUUAAUUUAGACUUUUCUGUAGACACAGAUAUCACAAAUCUUAUCAUAAAUCCAUAAUCUCCCUAAAAUCACUCUUUUAUCAUAGAAAAAACCCUGUGACAUAGGUGACUAACAGUGUACCUAUUAUUGCAGAAGAUUAUAGGAUUACCUAGUCAUAUGUAAUUUGAUUAAUUUCAAAUGCAAUGAUAUUUUAACAAAAUCCAAUAUGCUCAAAAGAUAAACUUGAAAAAUACAACUGAAGAAAUUAUUUUCUCAUGCAUUCAACACGUAUACUCAUUGCCGUACGCAUUGACCUCUGUCCUAAGCACCAGCAAUUUGUCAAGGAACAAGAGGGAGGUUUUCUCCCUCAGUUUAGGACCAGUUUGUUCUGGUCCGUGUACUUACAUAAACCAAGCAGACUGAUAACUUGUGGUUUGUGAGUCAUGUUAGAAUAAAAGGCUAAGCUAGGGAAUGAUGUACUGGGUAGACCAGAAAGAACAGAUCUCCUUUGAAUACAGUUAUGGGAGGAGGGCUUCCCAAAAAGUUAAAUUCAAAGAACUAACCCUUGGAAAAGUAUUAAUCAUUUGAAGAGUUCAAGGAAGGACAUUGACAGUGGCAGGAACUCCAAGAAUCUGAUAGCUGGAGGGUGAUGAUUCAGAGAGAGGGUGGUGUAAGGCAAGCUUAGGGAGGAUGCUGAGAACAGGCCAUGGAGGCCCUGAAGUCACAGUGAAUAGCUCACUUUGAUGCAGUGGUGAGCUAGACAAUGUAGCAGGGAGGAGAGACACAACCUGAUUCACAUCAUCUGCUUCUUACUGUAGUUGAAGAAGGAAAUGAAUAAAGGUGGAGGCAGAAAAGCACAUAACUUGCUUUACAAAGAUUUCAGCAAAAUAUUUACUUUAUAUGACUAAGUUAGCAAUUUCAUAGAUCAUUAGGAAGGUUGAUAUGGUUACACAAAGAAGAAGAAUAAAAAAAGCAAAACCCAUUUCAAGAUUUCAAUAUGGAUAAGAGUAAAAUAAGAUAGUGGAAAUGCUGAGAACUGUCUUGGUUCCCUCCAUGUUGUGAGAUGAGGAGUUGCUGUCAGACAGUUAACUGAGAAAGCAGAGAGUUCCCUUAGUCAUCUUCUUAUGACUUAAACUAAAAUACAUUUCUUAGAUAUAGAUCAGAGCACAGAGUGAUAAAUGGUCACAAAGCCCCCCAGAGCCUGCCCAGCUAGUAACUUCAGCUGUAGCAAAGCGUGGAGAAGCUAGAAUAAGUGUUUAUUUGUUUGUGUGAUUGGUUUCAUUUGUGUAUUUAAUUGCUUAUUUUAAAAAUGGAAUCAGGAAGACUUCAAAAUCUUGCAAUUAAGAAAAGUUUAAAAACAAAAUUUAAAAAAUUAAAUUAAAAACAAAUUAAUUAAAAAAUUAAAAACAGAAUAACUAUGUGAUCCAGCCAUCUGCUGAAUAUAAAUCUGAAUUAAAUAAGAUAAUAUUGCAAAGACAUACUUGCACUCAUAUGCUCAUUUCAGCAUUGUUCAAAAUAAGAAUUACAUAAAUAUCCUUUGUUAGAAAAAUGGAAAUUAAAUAAUGUGUAUAUAUACAUACGUAUGAGCACACCAACACACACACACACACACACACACA